AUGGGGUUCGUGCUGGUGAUCUCGCUGCCCUUCAUAUUCUUCACCGUCCUGCUCGGCUUCGGCUGCUACUUCCUCGGCAAGCACAAGGGCCGCGAGGAGAUGCGCGCCGGCGUCGGCGCACAGAUCUACGGCACGCCGCUGCCGCCGCCCGGUGUCGCCGGACAGUCCCCGGGGCCGUACCCGGCCCCGGUCCCGGUGAAGAAGGAGGGCCCCGACGCCGUCUGA
rnacentral:rRNA from 1 species